CACGUAUGGGGCGAGCGUUGUUCGGAUUCACUGGGCGUAAAGGGUGCGUAGGCGGUCGGGUAAGUCUGACGUGAAAUCUUCAAGCUCAACUUGGAAACUGCGUCCGAUACUGUUCGGCUAGAGGAAUGGAGGGGAGACUGGAAUACUUGGUGUAGCAGUGAAAUGCGUAGAUAUCAAGUGGAACACCAGUGGCGAAGGCGAGUCUCUGGACAUUUCCUGACGCUGAGGCACGAAAGCCAGGGGAGCAAACGGG
rnacentral:rRNA from 1 species